UGACGCUAUAAUAUCUAUUCAAUGAAGAUAGAUUUUUAAAUUUUUUUUUUGAUGUUUACAUUUUCUUAACCAUCUGGUUUGAAUUCUACAUUGUCUACAAAAGCUUUUUGAACGGCAUCGGCUUCAUUUCCCUUGCGUAUCUUUUUAAGUGCUAUAACUAAAUUAAAAACCAAGGUUUCAUUAGGCCUAGGAGGUCUCCAUAUUUCGAACAUCGCGGUUUUAAAUUCCAAUGUUGACUCUAUGCUCGAUAGUUUCUCAUCGGAGAUAUUCAAUUUUACUCCAAGUUUGUAGCAUUCAUCUUCACUUAAUUGUUGUCCGAGUCUAAAUAAUGAUGAUUUUCGAAGAACAGGAAUCUUACCUUAAAGAUUAAAAAUAUGAAAAUGUCAACCUGGUAAAGUUAUUAUAAAUAUUGCAGUUU
rnacentral:lncRNA from 1 species